AGCUAAUUUAGACAAAACGAGAUAUAUACAAUUCUAUAAUAGACACAAAUUUAUUAAUAACUUAAAUAUAACUUAUAAUAAUAACACACUAAAUGAAUGUAAUAGCAUAACAUUUUUAGGAUUAAAUGUGGAUAAUCAAUGUAGCUGGAAUCUUCACAUAGAUAUUACUUGUAGUAAAAUUAAUCGAUUCUCAUAUGCACUUUGGCGACUUACAAAAAUAUGUAAUUUAAAAACUGCAUUACAGGCCUAUCAUGGAUAUGUCGCCUCAAAUAUCAGAUACUGUAUACCCCUCUGGGGAAAUUCUAGUCACAUAAAUAGAGUGUUCAUUGCACAAAAGCAAUGUGUUCGUGCCAUGUGCAAUAUUCAUCCUCUGACUUCUUGUAAACCAUUCUUCCAAAAACAUAAUAUUUUAACUGUACCAUCCAUAUAUAUACAAGAAUGUUGUUUGUUUGUUAAAAAGCACCCACAAUUAUAUAAAUCGUGUGGCGAGUACUGUCAAUUUAAUACAAGAUACCCUACUAAACUAAUGUUACCAAGUAUAAAUACUCGUUACUACCAUACAAACUGUUAUCCUAUGACUAUCAGAAUAUUUAAUAAGAUACCAAACAGCAUAAGAGAUCUUCCACUAACUCAAUUUAAAAGAAAAUUAUAUUUAUGGCUGAUAGAUAAGGCUUAUUAUAGUGUGCAAGAAUUUUUAAAUGAUAAGUGUUGUACAUAAUAAAAUAUUAGAAUAAGAAGUGAUAGAAUGUAAAAAUAGAUAGAUUUAGUAAAUUUUGUGUUAUAAUUAAUAUAAAAAUAAAUUAAAUUUUCGCAUGCCUAAACAGGCGAAAUAUAUGAAGCUAUGUCCUAUAUCUUAUAAACUAUAUUUCUGGCGAAUAAAGAUUUUCUUUCUUCUUUCUUUCUUAUAUAAUUACAGCACAGUUAAGACUGUGGGCUUAUUCAUAUUCUGAGUUAUACGGGUUCCGGUAACUACUAAAAGGUACAGAGAGGCUGCAAACUUAUUUGUAGUUUCGACUACGGAUGUAAUUAGCUCAUUCCGUAGUGUCUUUAGAUUGUCAAAUGUCUAUGUAUGUAGAUCGAUCAGAAUGGUUUAUUUUUGUAUAAAUAAUAUGAAGUCUGCAAAAUAGAAUAUAGGGCUUUCUGUGUAUGGAAUAGAUUUGUCUUUGUCUAUCGAUGUCGAUAUAACAAUGUGUUGAUGUGUGAUUCUGACAAGUUUUCGUUGUUUUCUACGAUUUUAAUGUUUGAAAUAUAGUUUUUAUCGCAAGCGACGUUUCAGUAGAUCACUUUGACACAAGGCUUGGAUUCGCUUGUGUCGAUUAAUAAGGAUCAUGCUUUCGAGAACAGAGAAGAAAGUACUUUGAUAUAACGCAAGCAUGUAUGAGAUAUGUUUGUUGUACAAUUAUAAUUUAUUGAAUCAUCUAACGAUUUCAUAGACUUCAGCAAUGCCAGGCGCAGAGCCAAGCCGCUGCCUACCGUGAUAAAGAUCCCCCCCCCCGAGAUAAAGAUUAUUUUUUCCUUUUUUUUUUGCAUAUACGGGUGGACGAUCUCACAGCCACCUAGUGCUAAGUGGUUACUGGAGCCCAUAGAUAUCUAUAACGUAAUUGCCGUCAAUUACCUUGAGAUAUGAGUUCUCAGGUCUCAGUUUUUACAGUACAACGGCUGCCCCACCCUUCAAACCGAAAGGCAAUUACUGCUUCACGGCUCAAAUAGGCAGCGCGGUGGUACCUACACGUGCGGACUCACAAGAGGUCCUACCACCAUUAAUAGGUAUGUGUAUAGGUGUACACUGCACAAUAAGUAAUUCUUAUUCAUUGGUUUUAUAAAUUUGAUAUGAUUUUUCAUUUCAUAUUGUGACUGGUGUAAAAAAAUCUUUCUUACAGCUACUUCUAUCUUAGUUGCUGUACUGUAUGUUAAUUAUUAUUAUAUUAGGGUCUAACCACAUUUGGAUUCGUAAUGAUCGACUAAUAUUUUCUAUUAAAUUUAAAUAACAAUGCAAAUUAAAUAUACAUUAGACGUAAUUUUGUAUAAAUUAUUUAUGAGCUACAAUAACAAAAGCAAUUACGAAUAAUUAUUACAAUGUGAAUAAUUUUAUUAGAGUAUAGAAAUUAAAGUUGACGCAAAAAUAA